rnacentral:rRNA from 1 species
AUGCCAACUUCGCCGCACACCGCGGCCCCGCGGCCAGCUCCCUCUGGUGACAGUCAUUGCUGCUUCGGCCGCCACCCGCCAUGGCGCCCUCAGCUGCAACUGGCACGCUACUCCACAAGGAAGCGACGAUGUCUGCGACGUCCAUGGCGCCCCCCGCCUCCACUGCACGUGCUAGUGCCGACUCCGUCCUUUCCCCCGCCCCCGACAGCGCACCAAUCUGAGACACCCAUGGCGCCCUCCGACUCCACUCCGCCUGAUAUUGUCGGCUCCAGCCUUCCACCGCCGGCCCUUGCAGCGCUCCACUCCGGCAAGGCCCCUGCAGCUGCCGCGCAGUCUAUUUAA